GGAAAGAACGGGCGAGGAGCAGUGAGAAGGCGAGGGGGGGAAGGGUGGGCCGUAGUUAAUGGGCGUAAAGGGCGGGGAGGCGGCCAGUGGCGGUGCGGGGGAAAGCGCCGAGCUAAACUCGGAGAGGUUCCGGAAAACGGGCUGGCUGGAGCGUCGGAGAGGGGCAUGGAACUCCGGGUGGAGCGGUGAAAUGCGUAGAGAUCCGGAAGAACACCAAUGGCGAAGGCAGUGCCCUGGCCGACUGCUGACGCUCAGGCGCGAAAGCGUGGGGAGCAAACAGGAUUAGAUACCCCGGUAGUC
rnacentral:rRNA from 1 species